AACGUAGGAGGCAAGCGUUAUCCGGAGUUACUGGGCGUAAAGAGCUCGUAGGCGGCUUGUUGCGUCGACCGUGAAAACCCGGGGCUCAACUUCGGGCUUGCGGUCGAUACGGGUGGGCUAGAGUUCGGUAGGGGAGACUGGAAUUCCUGGUGUAGCGGUGAAAUGCGCAGAUAUCAGGAGGAACACCGGUGGCGAAGGCGGGUCUCUGGGCCGAUACUGACGCUGAGGAGCGAAAGCGUGGGGAGCGAACAGG
rnacentral:rRNA from 1 species